rnacentral:rRNA from 1 species
UACGAAGGGAGCUAGCGUUGUUCGGAAUUACUGGGCGUAAAGGGUGCGCAGGCGGAUAUGUAAGUCAGUGGUGAAAUCUCCGGGCUUAACCCGGAAACUGCCGUUGAUACUAUAUAUCUUGAAUGCUGUGGAGGUAAGCAGAAUAUGUCAUGUAGCGGUGAAAUGCUUAGAGAUGACAUAGAAUACCUAUUGCGAAGGCAGCUUACUACGCAGAUAUUGACGCUCAUGCACGAAAGCGUGGGGAUCAAACAGG